rfam:Dipodomys ordii contig_33527, whole genome shotgun sequence.
GGGCCUGUGGCUCAAGUGGUAGAGCAUUAGCCUUGAGCUGAAGAGCUGAGGGACAGUGCCCAGGCCCA